rnacentral:rRNA from 1 species
GACGGGGGAUGCAAGUGUUAUCCGGAAUAAUUGGGCGUAAAGCGUCUGUAGGUGGUUUACCAAGUCUGUUGUUAAAAUCAGGCUUAACCCUGAUCCGGCAACAGAAACUACCAAGCUGGAGUACGGUAGGGGCAGCAGGGAAUUCCGGUGGAGCGGUGAAAUGCGUAGAGAUCGGAAAGAACACCAACGGCGAAGCACUCUGCUGGGCCGACACUGACACUGAGAGACGAAAUGCUAGGGGAGCAAUGGAUUGA